ACCUUCUGGGAGGGCCACGCUGGAAAGCAGCCCCCCUUCCUGGGGCAGCCCCAUGUGUGUGGGGGAGGCUGGGCCUCUGCUCCCUCCCUGACAACUCUGAAGGGUCCUCCAGGGCGGGAACGGAGGCCCAGGUCCCCCCACAUUCCUGCAGCCCUCCCUUCCCCUCCUUUUCCCUCUCUUCCCCUUCCCUCUUUUCCCUGCCUUUCCCGCCUGCCUUCCCUUCCCGAGUUGUGCUGACCCCCAGGGUGCUCCCCAAUAAACCUGCACAACCUCGGGAGUCAGCGUUAGCUUCCUGGGGAGCCCAGCUGGCCCCCGUGCCCCCACCCACGCUGUGUCUCCCCUUACAUCUGCUGCAAAGCCCAGCGGUGUUAGCUCAACAGGAUCAUCUUAUCAGCUGAACCCCACAGACACAUCCCAGACGCCCAGCCAGCCCUGGGGUUUCCUCCGCACACGCGGGGUCAUGCUGGAGGUGGCCGGCCCCAGCACUGACACGGGAGCUGCAGAGGGACAUCCGUGCAGGCCGCAGCCGGGAAGGAAGAUGCAACCUUGUAAGCAAAGGCGGCACAACCACGGCAUCCAGGAAACUAAGGAAAAGGCCACAGAAGACGGCGGGCCCCGCGGAGCAGGGCUGCGAUGGAGGGAGGAGACACAGAAGCGGAGGCCACAGCCAGAGCUCCAAAGACCGUGUCAAGUCAGAGCAGCUGGGCCCCACCCCCACCCCCACCAUCCAGGCUCGGGGAGCCGCUGGCCUCCAUCUGGACUGAACCGGCCUCCAGCCUCUGCACCGGCCCCAGCGGCCCCUUCCAGAGGCCAGAGUUGCCCCAGAAAGAGCCCCUCCACGUGGCCGGCCCCCUGGCCUCCCGCACCCUCCUUACCCCUCACCUGCACCCCAGGCUGCCCAAAGCCCACCUCCUGCUACCAGACACAGGUUUGCCAGUGGGUGCAGAUGGCCACCCAGCUUGACGCCAUGGAGGGGCCAGCUGCCCCUUAUGAGACGGGCUGUCCACGCUCAGGCUGCCGUCCCCCACCGCAGCACCGCCACGCUCAGGGCCGAGCCUCCCACACGUGGGGUGAAGGCCAUGCUGGCUCUGGGGCUACACUCGAGGCCCAGGGUCCCGAGGUGGAGGUUUCCCCUCUCAGGGAUUCCCGGCAGGUGGCAGGACCCCGGGGAGGGGAGCCCCACUAGCAAACUCACAUCCAGCACCCAGGGGGACCCAGAGCUGGCCCAGCCAACUCAGACACAUCCAGCUGCGCUGAGGCACCCUGAGUGCACGCUGGAGCCUCCCGGCCCCUGGUGCUCGGUGGGAGGGGCCCCUGGCUGUGGGGGGUGGUGCAGGGAACCUCAGGGUACAUGGAUUAGGGGGGACAGGUCUGGCUGUUCCUUUGCCUCCGAACGCCCAAGCUCUGCCUCUCUGGAAGGUCCAGGUUUCUGCACAAAGACCUGCUUUUCAGGGUUGGGGGAGGGAGCCAGGGGACGUGACCGCUCAGCUACGCACCAGGUGGGACCUCCAGACUCCACGGCCCCCAGGAAACCACAGCGUGGGCUCACCAGGCAGCAGGAAGCUUUGCCGUCUGGGAGACGCCUGGCUCCUGACGUGGGCUUGUUUCUAGAAACAUCCAUGCUGUCACCAGACAACACCGGGAGGUGACCACCACUGGCCAUCAGAACACAGCCCCGAGCCACGCAGACCCGCAGCUUCAGGGGCCGGUACCCCCCGCCUGGGGGCACCCACCCCCUCCCUGGCACUGGGCGGCUGUGUCGUCUUGACGAGGCCUGGAGCGGUGGAUAGAGGGCCAGGGACCAGGGCUUUCCCUUCGGAACGAAGAGCAGACGCCCAGUGCCCAGCGGGGACCGCGCAGAACACCAGGAGGACAGAAGGCUGAGCGCCGGCCCCGCACGGACGGGUGUCCUUUCUUCCAGAAUCCCGGCAGCUGGAGCCUGCCUGGAGCUGCCUGGGGCUGCCGCUCGCCCCGCUGCUGACAGAGACCACCAGCAUCUGACCUCCGGAAUUCUUCCUGAGGGUCGGCGCUUCACCCGGCCACCUCUCACCCUAGCAACGUGAAAGGCACUCGGUCCAGAGCUGCCCAUGCAGCCUCCAGCGGACCCCCAGGCCCCCGCAGCGCCCGCUCGCCCCAGACUCAGGCCUGUAAGCCCCCGUCCCUCCAGCUUUGCGCGGGGUGUCUGCCUUGCUGGCAGACGGCAACAUUCCGACAGGCCGGAAAACCUCCCCAAGGUGAGGGGAGGUUUGGGACACUCACUUCAUGAGAGUCUCCCGGGGAUUCAUCAGCCCGGCUGACACCCCUGACCGGUUAACAAGCCCCCUCAAGCCCCGACGGUAGCACCCGAGCAAGUGUUUCCUGAGGCCCGAGACCUGAAUUGAGUUCUAAGGAGACCAGCUGUGUUGUGCCAUCCCAGGUCCACUACAGGUCGGAGCGUGAGCAGACGGACCCCAAGUUCCUGGUGACCUGGAGGUCAUCGCUCACCCCUCAUUUCCACUACCCCCGUCUGCCUGUUUCCGAGAACUCCCCAGCAUCAGUCUGCAAGUCCUCGCCUCUGGCUCUGCUUUUGGGGACCCCAAACCAGAACAAACUGGGGCUUGGUCGCUGCUGCUGCAGCGGAGACGGGCCGGCGGGGCCUGGGGUCCCCGCGAGCUGGUGGUGGCUCUGCCCCACACCCGGCGCUGCUCACCGCGUUGGGAGGGCAUUUUAGACGCAAGUCGACAUUUGUGCCACAAACAAGACACAUUUAUUCUCAGCUAAAUCUGGAGAAAAGCAAAGGGCAUUUAUAUCCCAGCUGACAGUUUUAUAUUAAAAAUACAGAAUCACUGUGGCGCCGUCCAGGCCGGGGGCUGCGGACCUCACGGCUGCCGUGGACUUGCUGGCUCCGAGCUGGACCUGCUCCCAGGCCCCAGGCCAGGCCGCACGGGGCACCCCCAUCAGAGCUGAGCUCAAGCCCAGGCCCUGUGUCCAGUCCCAGAGCCGCCAUCGCACGCGGCUGCACGCUUGGCGGCUUCUACCAAGGCCCCUGACCGUCCGCAGGCCAGAAAUGAGACACCCGAUCCUGGGCUGGGCAGCCAUCGGCAGAUUGCUCCCUUCUUGAGGACCUGGGGGCGACCCCACACCCCGUCCCCAGGCCCUGCGGCCACCACCUCCCAGCUCACUGAGGCUCGCUCCAGAACCCCCAGCUUGCUCUUUUUUUUUUUCAGUCAAAAACUGUAAGAACUCUUCAAUAAUCGCCCCCCACGCACGUCUCUUCUGGAGCGCUGAGUCUGGAAGCCUUCCGGUAACGCCGGGCCAGCCACUGGCUCAGAGUGGGUCCAGGCGGGUCCCCGCACCCCGGAGACAGACACGUUUCACGCCCUCGGCCACCCCGCCUGCUCCCGGCGACCUGCGGGAGCCCGCGCACGGCUGCUUGGGGAGCACACGGUCUGGCUCCUCUCGUUUCACCGUCUCGGAAGAAGAGGUUAAAAACAA